UUUUAGACUUAUCUGUUGGGGUAUAGAAGCCUAGUCACAAUCUAGAUGGACAACACGUGCUACGAGUUCCUGUGCCUUUCUUUUUCUCAACGAUAAACAUCAUUCCUACUUCCUCUUCCACCGCUUCUUUUGCCUCAAAGACUGACCUCCAUUCACUCACCCAAAGGUCAAAAUCUACACUUUUCCAAUAGCUUCAGAGAGAUUGCUGUGAAACCCACCGACCUCGAAUUGAAUUCCUUGGUUACUUGCAGCUAUCUCUAGUGGUUGGAAUUGCUGAUUAUCGAGUGGGUAUUAGCAUUUUGAUUUGGGUUGCCGCGUGUAGCAGUGGAUUGGGGUUUUGUUAGUCGCUGAACUAAGGCUUGAGGAAAGACGUCCAUGAGUGGACGUGGUAGUGAGAUACCAGAAUUGUCUUGAGCAGAAAAUGUUGGAGCUUUGUUUUGCUUGUGAAGUGUGUGCUGGACCUUGCUUUUCUUGUUUAAAUGAUUGCUCCCUGGUGCUGGAUGUUCCUCAUUCCAGAAUUUUGUUUUUUUUUGUGUUUGCAAUGUACAUAUGUUGUAAACGAAGUGUUAACCUGGAGCAUUCUUUUGUAGUGGAAAACUUUGUAAUCAAGAUACUCUUUUGAGCUUGUAAGAUGUAUUACUUUUCUCCCAGAUUUUAGAAAAACUUUCUGAGAA